AAAAGCAACAAAGAAAAA
rnacentral:sRNA from 1 species